rnacentral:rRNA from 1 species
GUGGGGAAUAUUGGACAAUGGGCGAAAGCCUGAUCCAGCCAUGCCGCGUGUGUGAAGAAGGUCUUCGGAUUGUAAAGCACUUUAAGUUGGGAGGAAGGGCAGUAAGUUAAUACCCUGCUGUUUUGACGUUACCAACAGAAUAAGCACCGGCUAACUUCGUGCCAGCAGCCGCGGUAAUACGAAGGGUGCAAGCGUUAAUCGGAAUUACUGGGCGUAAAGCGCGCGUAGGUGGUUCAGCAAGUUGGAGGUGAAAUCCCCGGGCUCAACCUGGGAACUGCCUCCAAAACUACUGAGCUAGAGUACGGUAGAGGGUAGUGGAAUUUCCUGUGUAGCGGUGAAAUGCGUAGAUAUAGGAAGGAACACCAGUGGCGAAGGCGACUACCUGGACUGAUACUGACACUGAGGUGCGAAAGCGUGGGGAGCAAACAGGAUUAGAAACCCGUGUAGUCC